GAUUUCUAUUUCUAUUUUGCAACGUAAAGACAUCUGUUUAUAAAUACUCUCUCAUCAUCACUAGUGAGAGAAAUAAAAAAAAUUUAAGUAUCUGAGAGGGAGACUCUUCACUAAAAAAAAAUUAAGUUUCUCGAGAAUUAGGGUUCGUUCGAUCUACGGUCCGAUUAAGCGGCAGGGUUUUGAUCGCUCAUCAAUUGGAGACGAGACGAGACCGUCCGAUAGAAACAAACAAUGGGAGAGACUGCGUUCCGUACCAUCGUCGAACGAAGCGAUUCACUCAUCUCCGACGCAGGCCGUCGUCUAUCAUGUGUACAACAACUCGAAGAAAAACCCUAGAUCCAGAUCAAGGUCGGCGAAUCUUCUUCACCUUCUCCGUACUCGGUCGUGUCGUGAAUCGGUGAAUGAUGAAGUCGAUCGUUCGUUGUGGCCUGAAACGACGGCGUGUUGAAAACUCUGGGAAUUGGGCUUUUGGUGUUAGUUUGUUGGCGGCCCAUAUUCUUCUUUAGGGUCCAUUAUUUGAGACGUUGUCGUUUUGGAGCAUCGUCUCCUUCCUUUCCCUUUUGUCUGUCUGAAAUCAAAACGGAACAAGUGGAGUGAGGGAUGGACUGAUCGGAGCUUUUGGUAUUGAUUAGAGGUGCCGGUGAUUUAUUUGACUGAUUUGAUUCAGAACACAAUCGUCACCAAACACGCUUAAGAUCAAGGAGAGCAUCAUCAUUCAAGGAAGGUAGAGACCAUGUACAACUAAUUCCAUGAGCCAACGUCCAACAUGAAGAAGAAGAAGAAGAAGAAGAAGAAGAAGAAGAAGAAGAAGAACACCUCCAGAGACGAAGUGGAAUUGAUAAUGGUGCUGGUGGUUCCUGUUCUCCUAGUGUCAUCACCACAGUGAUAUAGGUAUGUCUGAUUUAGCCUUAUUUUAUGAUGUCAAACUAUUGUUCUUUGUGAAUUCAUUAUCUUCAUAAAGUUGGUACCUCUAUGAUAAAUCUUUCUUCUGGUCUGUCAUAUUUUAUGUUUCUUCUAUGUUACGUCUUUUUAUUACCAUCGUCUUCAUUACAACCACAAAUUACCUUUGCUUUGUUAUGUCAAACUUUAUCUUGAAGGAUGCCUUUGAUCUCUCGUUGCUCCAUGGUACCUCUUUCACGGUCUCUUCAUUUCCUUUGUUAGAAUUUUACUGUUCCCAUAUUAGCUGCUAAUGUUUUCUUUGCUUGUGUUAGAUCGUGGAGGUUGAACGCCUUGUUGGAGGGAAGGAAGGCUUAUGUAUAACUUCGAGUUUCUGGUUACUUCACAUAUACACCUCUCUGCCUAUUGUUUGUUGACCUUUGUGUUUGUUUUCCAGAUAUCACUUCACUUCGCAAGCGAAAGAUAUGUCUUGCAAACGAGUUUGUUCUUCUAUCUUUUCCUCUCAUGAAAAAGGCUCGAAAAAUUCAGGUUUUUGAAAUUUUCAGGUUAACAUUAUUUUGGCAUGUAUGUUUUAAGUCUAAGACCAUAUAUUUUAGUGGAGGAAGAUGCUUUGAUCGGUUUGGUGAUGGUUUUGAUGGUUCGUUUUUGUCUUCUCUGCGCUUCAUCUUCAGAGGUUUUUAAUGAUACUUUUAUCAAUGAGAGUAAUGGUUGAUGGACACGCAUUUCUCUGUGCUACGUCUUUAAGGGUCUUUUGGAAGCAAACCAUGAUCCAAUCAUCAUGUAUUCUAAUCCAUGUUAUUUUCUUCAAGCGUUCUCAUGGGUUCCUUGCUCCAGUCAUCACUCUCUUACUCAUGUUGCUCUUCUAGGAUUGUGGAGGAGGAUGCUUUGAUCGGUUGGUGAUGGUUUUGAUGGCUUGUUUUUGUUCUCUCUGUGCUACAUCUUCAGAUUGUGGACACACUAGGAUUACUGUGUGAGAGGUUCUAAGAUAAUUUGUUUUUUUUGCUGUGGAGUGCAUAAGAUUGCUGAUAUUUCCUAGAUACUUUGAAGCAUUAUAAUGACGACGAGAGAGCAAACAAGUCUCCAAGAGGUGCCGGUGAUUUUUUUGACUGAGUUGAUUCAGAACAUAAUCGUCGCCAAACAUGGUUAAGAUCAAGGAAGGUAGAGACCAUGUACAACUAAUUCCAUGAAUAACACCAUUCCAUGAGCCAACGUCCAAGAAGAAGAAGAAGAAGAAGAAGAAGAAGAAGAAGAACACCUCCAGGUUGGUUCUUCUCAUUGUGGGAGACACUCUGGUUCGGGAAAGACUACACAAUAUCUCCAUGAAGCUGCAGGUUGAAAGGAAAGAGCAAAGAGCAAGUUGAGGCGCUGUCAAAAAGUUUUCUCAUCGUACGGCUGUGCCAGAUCAUGGAUGCACCGGGGGGACUGAUAUGACAAAUCUUUCUUCUGAUUGUGGAGGGUUCAAAGCCUUGUUGGAAGGAAGGAUGGUUUGCGUAUAACUUCAAGUUUCUGGUUACUUCACAUAUAUUACUUCACUUUGCAGAUGUAAGAUAUGUCUUGCAAACGAGUAUGUUCUUCUAUCUUAUCCUCUCAUGCAAAAGGCUCGAAGAAUUCAGGUUUUGGAUGAUGCUUUUAUCGAUGAGAGUGAUGGCUUUGAUGGACACGCUUCUUCUCUGUGCUACUUCUUCAAAGGGUCUUUUGGAAGCAAACCAUGAUCCAAUCAUCACGUUUUCUAAUCCAUGUUUUGGAUAUCUCAAGGAAUCUCGUCAUCUGCUCACAGCUGAUAUGGGACCGGGCUCUUGGACUGCCACUAGAGCGACCAAAGAGUGAAACUUUGCAACUUCGUGAGGCUCUUAAGCAGAGUGAGUCUGUCCCAGUUCUUGAAAAAUAUUGUCCUUGGGAGUUCCAGCCCAACGAAUUUGAGAGAUAAGAGACAGAGAGAGAUCGUUCUAAUGGCGACAAGAGAGCAACAUGAUGAUGGUUCGAAUCUACUACUCAACCGAUCCAUGAAUUGUAUGGAGAAUUUAGGGUUUCUGGAGCUUCGAACCUCAAAGCCAUUGGUUCCUUAUCCCAGAUAGAGUAUCUAACUAUGGUCCAAUAUUACUCGGUUCCGAGCCAACACUGCAGUCAAGCAAUGGCGAAGGAGAUGGCCUUGUUAGCCUUCAAUCGGGCUCUUAACCAGAGGAUAUCCGGUUCUUGGUGUGGGGUUUUACGGCAUAUUUGGCAACCUCUCGUCCAAAGCGUGGGAAUCACAGAUAUGGUAGUGAGGAUGGGAGGGCCUUGUUGUUUCCAUGGCGGAAACGAGUGUCACAAACAUAGCUGCUAGCUAGCUUUACCAAUCCAUGAAUGAGACCAUGAGCAACGUCCAAGAAGACGUAGAAGAAGAAGAACCACUCCAGGAUAAAGAGCAGAAAUAGUAGUAGCUACAACACACAAAGCAAGCCUCAGGAAAUAACAAUAUACUCCUACCAAAGCAAGCACAGAGGUCAACAACAAGGCCAGUACUCUCCGGGAUGCCGAUGUCUGAGCAGAUAUAAAACAAGGAGACCAUUCCUUGCCCAAACCAACACUGCAGUUUUCUCAAGGAGACAAGUCGAUGGACCUCCUUAAGAAAAGCAUCAAACUGCUAGAAACAUAGCUAGUCGUCUGAGGAAUCCAUUCUGUACUCAGGCCAAAAAACAAGUCAUAGUUGUCUCAAGCCAAAUGCAUUCAUCAGCAAAAAAAGGGAAACGAGUGUAGAAUCAUGGAAAGUGAUUAUGAAAAGUGAUGAUGCAAAAUCAAGAUAGAUUCUCAAUCCAAAACCAGCAACUCUGCAGCUCAAGUGCGCGAUGAAGAUGGAGUUACGGUGGAGUCCAGGACAAGAGCUCGCCGUGACGCAGAAAUCUUCUCCCUUUGAAAUGAAAAUGCACCAAUCUGUAAACACCAUUAGAAUCGACAGGACAAAAUGAGGUCUUGCUCACACCCAAGUUUUAAGCUCGACCUGUGAAAGAGCAGAGAACAAGAAGGCAAUGCAUCUAGUUACCAAGUCAUAUUUGUACUUCAUAAACAGAAAACUAAACAAAACCAAUGCGUUCCAGUGAUUUGAUGCAGCUCACACUUUGCCUGCACCACAAAGAAGUACACCACAUAUGCUAGAAUUUUCAGGAAUUUCAUCUUCAAACGGCAAGGGCUAACCAGCAUGACAUCUUUAAUAGCUUCAACAUAUGUCUCUAAUCAGGUAUACGCAACCAGCGCAUCGGUCGAUGCAUGGCUCAAUCAAGAUAGUGGAACCGAAUGUUUAAUGGGUUUUGGAGUUGAAUAAAGAAGUUUCUGUUGGGCUGAGCCGAAGCCGAAGAUCGACCCAGAGGUUGCAUCGACCGGUGCAAUGUCGAUGCAACCUUGCAUCAAUCGAUGCAACUAAAACCUAGUUCGUGUUUUAAGAAGCCCGACUUCGUCUUCUCCGUUCUUCAUCUUCAAAGUCGCGAACACGAACACAAAGCUUCAAUCAAUGGUAUCUCGAUUGUUUAUCAAAUCCGACGAUUCCAAAGCCUGACCCACUCGGAUUUCUCCCCUCUUCUCGAUCCCCAGCUUUGUUUCGUGUUUCGGAGCCAUGGUGAAACACCCACAAACAAAACGAAGUCGCGGCGAAUCCUCUACCUCCGGCCAGUCGCGCCUCCGUGACUCUCCACCACCGGCGAGUACUCCUCCACCUCCGGCGAGCCAUGCCCAACCACUCUCCAACCCUGCUUGCACCGGAAAAGAAGGUUCAAACAGCAGCUUAUAUUAAACCUCGGGUGAUGGAUACUUGGGAAGAAGACUAUGUUUUACAAUGUAUGGCUGAAGGUCGAUAUCAAUCCUGCUAUUAUGCAGCGCUUCGGGAUUAUGAUGAGGUGUUGACACUACUGCAGAAGAUCCGAUUGGGUUCUACGUCCACAUGGUUGUAUGACUGUUUCUCGGAGCUGGUCCGGCAGUUCAUGGCUUCGAUUUGCAUUUUUUACAAACUCUGGUAGAGGAUGCGGACCGAAGCCAUAAACUGCUGGACUAGAUCCGGGUAACAGUUGUACUGACGUGUGCACAUAGACCCCAAUUCGAUCUUCUGCAGCAGUCUCAAUACCUCAUCAUUAAUCCUGAGUCGCUGCAUAGUAGCAGUAUCGACGAACCUCGUUGUUUGAUAUCGACUAUCAGCCAGACAUCGUAAAACAUAAUCUCAUACUCUCCCCAAGUAUCCAGCACCGGGCAGUUAAUGUAAGCUGCUGUCUGAACCUCUUUUUCGGGUGCAAGCUCCCAAGUCCGUUGAGUCAGAAUUCUUAGUUUCAAAGCUGCAGUUAAGUCUUUUGCUUCUAUAUCGGGUCGAGUUCUACGCGAUGGAAGAAGGUUCUCCAGGUUCAUCUCAGUAUCAGCUGUAAAAUCCUCAGCGGAGUGCAGUAAAGCUCAUUAUUAAUGCCAGAUAAACCGUCACGUGUAGGAGAACAUCCCUGCUAAAGAUCUGAUCGGGGUAGUUCUGUCUAACAUGCCUUACCAGUAUAUAUGGUCAUAUUUUCUCAUUUCUAUGUUUGUCAUGCCUUAGACAUUUGUGGAAUGGGUCAUUAUAAAAAGCAUAUGUGUUAGAUCUUUAUAUUUUCUAGGGUUGGGAUAACAUAUUUGUUAAAUUCGAUUCCCGAUUUGAAAAUUCA